CUUGCACGGGGAUGGCUUGGGUAUCACGGUAUACAGAGUUGCUUACUCACCACAUCAUGCGAGAAGUAGAAAUGAAUAUACAGAGUGUUCGCUCACCGUAACAGGGGAGGAGUAAGUGCCCAGUCCUAGCACAGGGAUGCUGUUGCCAUCACUCAGAGGGAUACGGUGCUGCUCCUCGUUCAGCUCCAUCCUGACACCUGAGCGUUCGGGGCAGGAGCCCAGCUGAUAUGUGGCCGGACAGGGGGCGUCGCUGUGGGAGGGGGAAAU